GAGGGAAAGGCGAAAAGAACCCCGGCGAGGGGAGUGAAAAAGAACCUGAAACCGUGUACGUACAAGCAGUAGGAGCCCCAUCACUCAAGUGCCUCGCACUGAGUGAUGCAAGAACAUCACCGAAAAUAGCGCUGAAUUUGCUAACAAGGUUGGUCGAUUUUUUCAAGCCGUCGCGCAGUGUACCUAGAAGUACACGAGCAACGGAAGUUAAAAAAUCGGGCAAGAUUGAACGCAAAGGCAAGCGGGACAUUUGAGGAUGGGGUGACUGCGUACCUUUUGUAUAAUGGGUCAGCGACUUAUAUUCUGUAGCAAGGUUAACCGUAUAGGGGAGCC
rnacentral:rRNA from 1 species